CCUACGGGUGGCAGCAGUGAGGAAUAUUGGUCAAUGGACGAGAGUCUGAACCAGCCAAGUAGCGUGAAGGAUGACUGUCCUAUGGGUUGUAAACUUCUUUUAUAAAGGAAUAAAACGAGGCACGUGUGCCUUUUUGCAUGUACUUUACGAAUAAGGAUCGGCUAACACCGUGCCAGCAGCCGCGGUAAUACGGAGGAUACGAGCGUUAUCCGGAUUUAUUGGGUUUAAAGGGAGCGUAGAUGGGUUGUUAAGUCAGUUGUGAAAGUUUGCGGCUCAACCGUAAAAUUGCAAUUGAUACUGGCAGUCUUGAGUACAGUUGAGGUAGGCGGAAUGCGUGGUGUAGCGGUGAAAUGCUUAGAUAUCACGAAGAACCCCGAUUGCGAAGGCAGCUUACUAAACUGUGACUGACAUUGAUGCUCGAAAGUGUGGGUAUCGAACAGGAUUAGAUACCCCUGUAGUC
rnacentral:rRNA from 1 species